CGGGGGAUCUUCGGACCUCGCGCUAUUGGAUGAGCCCAAGUUGGAUUAGCUUGUUGGUGGGGUAAAGGCCUACCAAGGCUACGAUCCAUAGCUGGUCUGAGGAGGACGAUCGAGCCCACACUGGGACUGAGACACGGCCCAG
rnacentral:rRNA from 1 species